GUCCCAGUUCGGACUGCAGUCUGCAACUCGACUGCACGAAGCUGGAAUCGCUAGUAAUCGCGAAUCAGAAUGUCGCGGUGAAUACGUUCCCGGGUCUUGUACACACCGCCCGUCACACCAUGGGAGUCGGUAACGCCCGAAGUCAGUGACCCAACCGUAAGGAGGGAGCUGCCGAAGGCGGGACUGGUAACUGGGGUGAAGUCGUAACAAGGUACC
rnacentral:rRNA from 1 species